rnacentral:rRNA from 1 species
AUUGAACGCUGGCGGCAGGCCUAACACAUGCAAGUCGAGCGGAGCGGCGGACGGGUGAGUAAUGCCUAGGAAUCUGCCUGGUAGUGGGGGAUAACGUCCGGAAACGGGAGCUAAUACCACAUGCUCUCAGCAGAGCCUAGGUCGGAUUAGCUUGUUGGUGGGGUAAAGGCCUACCAGGGCGACGAUCCGUAACUGGUCUGAGAGGAUGAUCAGUCACACUGGAACUGAGACACGGUCCAGACUCCUACGGGAGGCAGCAGUGGGGAAUAUUGGACAAUGGGCGAAAGCCUGAUCCAGCCAUGCCGCGUGUGUGAAGAAGGUCUUCGGAUUGUAAAGCACUUUAAGUGGGGAGGCGUUACUAACAGAAGAAGCACCGGCUAACUUCGUGCCAGCAGCCGCGGUAAUUC